rnacentral:tRNA from 1 species
GCUGGGACUUGUAACUCAGUGGUAGAGCACUUGCCUAGCAUCUAUGAGGCCCUGGGUUUGAGUCCCAGCCCUGCA